rnacentral:rRNA from 1 species
UACGUAGGGGGCUAGCGUUGUCCGGAAUCAUUGGGCGUAAAGCGCGUGUAGGCGGCCCGGUAAGUCCGCUGUGAAAGUCGGGGGCUCAACCCUCGAAUGCCGGUGGAUACUGUCGGGCUCGAGUACGGGAGAGGCGAGUGGAAUUCCUGGUGUAGCGGUGAAAUGCGCAGAUAUCAGGAGGAACACCAAUGGCGAAGGCAGCUCGCUGGGACGGUACUGACGCUGAGACGCGAAAGCGUGGGGAGCAAACAGG